rnacentral:rRNA from 1 species
AUGAACAACGCAAAAGUAGCUAGAGUGUUAUGCUUCCUAGUCCUUGUGGCUCUCUCUUCUUGUUCGCUCCGUGCACGAGCACCCAACGACAUAGAUCACUGCUUCCUUGAUAAAAAAAAGGGUUAUCGUGUUCCGGAAAUAAAUCUACCACCUCCACCUGCGGCAAGUACCUAG